UACGUAGGUGGCGAGCGUUGUCCGGAUUUACUGGGCGUAAAGCGCGCGCAGGCGGUGCGUUAAGUCUCCGGUGAAAUCGCCCGGCUCAACUGGGCGGGGGCCGGGGAGACUGGCGGACUGGAGGAGCCUAGAGGCCGGUGGAACUCCCGGUGUAGUGGUGAAAUGCGUAGAGAUCGGGAAGAACACCAGUGGCGAAGGCGGCCGGCUGGGGGUGUCCUGACGCUGAGGCGCGAGAGCGUGGGGAGCAAACCGG
rnacentral:rRNA from 1 species